AUACUUUAUAUAAUAAAUAUGAUUUCUGAACUGAUUAAAUGAUGCUCCCAUUAUGCUUUGCACGCUUAAAGUUUAAGGUUUAAGGUUUAAAAUUUAAGGUUUGCAAAAGACAACCUUUUUUGAAUUAGCUGUAUACUGUGGGGCUCUGUAUAUAAAACUAUAAAUGUCAUGCUGCAUGAUGAAACCUACUAAACCGUUGGCUAUGCAAUUUCCUUUGCGCCAAAUACAUUUCAAUAUAUUUUAAGUUAGAAUUAAAAAUCACAAUUUUAACAAUAUACAAGCUGUACUCCAG